rnacentral:rRNA from 1 species
GAUGAACGCUGGCGGCGUGCCUAAUACAUGCAAGUCGAGCGAACGGACGAGAAGCUUGCUUCUCUGAUGUUAGCGGCGGACGGGUGAGUAACACGUGGAUAACCUACCUAUAAGACUGGGAUAACUUCGGGAAACCGGAGCUAAUACCGGAUACUAUUUUGAACCGCAUGGUUCAAAAGUGAAAGACGGUCUUGCUGUCACUUAUAGAUGGAUCCGCGCUGCAUUAGCUAGUUGGUAAGGUAACGGCUUACCAAGGCAACGAUGCAUAGCCGACCUGAGAGGGUGAUCGGCCACACUGGAAGUGGGACACGGUCCAGAGUCCUACGGGAGGCAGCAGUAGGGAAUCUUCCGCAAUGGGCGAAAGCCUGACGGAGCAACGCCGCGUGAGUGAUGAAGGUCUUCGGAUCGUAAAACUCUGUUAUUAGGUAAGAACAUAUGUGUAAGUAACUGUGCACAUCUUGACGGUACCUAAUCAGAAAGCCACGGCUAACUACGUG